rnacentral:sRNA from 1 species
CACCGCCUGGGGAGUACGACCGCAAGGUUAAAACUCAAAUGAAUUGACGGGGACCCGCACAAGUAGUGGAGCAUGUGGUUUAAUUCGAAGAUACGCGCAGAACCUUACCAACACUUGACAUGUUCGUCGCGACUUUAAGAGAUUAAAGUUUUCGGUUCGGCCGGACGAAACACAGGUGCUGCAUGGCUGUCGUCAGCUCGUGUCGUGAGAUGUUGGGUUAAGUCCCGCAACGAGCGCGACCCUCACUUUUAGUUGCCAUCAUUAAGUUGGGCACUCUGAAAGAACUGCCAGUGAUAAGCUGGGGGAAGGUGGGGAUGACGUCAAGUCCUCAUGGCCCUUACGUGUUGGGCUACACACGUGCUACAAUGGCAUUUACAAUAGGAAGCAAGAUGGCGACGUCAAGCAAAUCCUAAAAAGAUGCCUCAGUUCGGAUUGUACUCUGCAACUCGAGUACAUGAAGCUGGAAUUACUAGUAAUCGCGGAUCAGCGCGCCGCGGUGAAUACGUUCCCGGGUCUUGUACACACCGCCCGUCACACCAUGGGAGUUGGUUCUACCUUAAGGCAAGGUUUCAAACCCUUGACCACGGUAUAGUCAGCGACUGGGGUGAAGUCGUAACAAGGUAGCCGUAGGGGAACCUGCGGCUGGAUUACCUCCUUUCUAAGGAUGAUUAAGAAACUUUUUCUUAAUCUAAAUAAUAUAACAGGCUAAUGUUGACCGUCCUCAUUUCUCUUCUUGAAAUUAGUGUUUCACUCUUCUGCGAAAAGGGCCGGUAGCUCAGUUGGUUAGAGCACACCCUUGAUAAGGGUGGGGUCGAAAGUUCGAGUCUUUCUCGGCCCACCAUUUUUACUGGGGGAUUAGCUCAGCUGGGAGAGCGCCUGAUUUGCAUUCAGGAGGUCAGCGGUUCGAUCCCGCUAUCCUCCACCAGGAAGCACUUAGUUAUUAUUUUUGUGAAAAAUUUUUUAUUAUCAAUAUCUAUAUCCGAUUGUUCGAAUAGAUGAACAAUCAAUAAAUAUUCGAGUAAAUGAAUAUUUAAUAAAAAUUUGAUUCGACACAGAAUUUUUUUCUG